AAAAAGGGGUCUUAAAAUCCUUAGUGUCUCUUUCUGUCACAGCCAUAUGUUUGAGACAUGGUCUCCAGUAGGGGAAGCCUGGGGCAGUCUGUCUGGAAAGUUUCUGGAAGCAUGACAAAGAUUGCAGGGGAAGGAAAACCACACGUCAAGUUGCUUGUGUAGACUGUGCUAGGCCCAGGGCUUUCAAGGCUCUGUGGCCCAGGCGGGAACACGUCCACGGGCAAUGCAGGUCCCCAAGUCAGUGCGCAUGCUAAUUGCUGCGUAUGCGCCUUGCAGCAGGCGGCAGUUGGUGCACAUGCGCAUUGUAGUCCGCGUUCUUCGACCAGAGCUGAGGCGGAGGCGGUGGUGUUUCUUCCUUGUGGAGCCUUUCCCGCUACUGGAGUCUCAACGGUGUGAAGUAUGAGUAGGCAUGUGAGAUCGCGUUUCGAAUGGAAAAUACUAAUAGAAGAUCCAGAGAAUUCGGAGCGAGUUGACCCUGUGGCUGCCCAGCAACCCAGUGAUGAACAAGCACAACAAGACGAGCCACCAAAUGAGAGUCAGGAUGUUACACCUGAUCAAGACAAUGAAGAUGAAAGUGCACCUGUGGUUCCAG